rnacentral:rRNA from 1 species
UACGGGAGGCAGCAGUAGGGAAUUUUCGGCAAUGGGCGCAACCCUGACCGAGCAACGCCGCGUGAGUGAAGAAGGUUUUCGGAUCGUAAAGCUCUGUUGUAAGAGAAGAACGUGUGUGAGAGUGGAAAGUUCACACAGUGACGGUAACUUACCAGAAAGGGACGGCUAACUACGUGCCAGCAGCCGCGGUAAU